GCCCCUUCGCCCGACCCGCCCCGAGAGGCGCUAGUAGGGCGGGGGUGGCAUCGGCGGGGCUGGCUGCUAUGGGCCCUGCUUUGUGCGCCGGGGGCGCGGAGGAUCCGCCGCGGCUCUCCCGGGCCGCUGGAAGGCGCCUCAGUGGGGCCGAGCCCUGCGCCGCCACGGCCCCCGGCUGACUCCCAGGGCCCCGCAGGGCCGGUCUGAGGCGAGGCGGAGCACCUGCAGGGACGACGGGCGGGGGCUCGAGAAAAUCUACACCAAAUACAGGGCAACAAAAGUGUCCAGCUGGCUCAAGGCAAGUCUGCCUAGUGCAGUACCCUACUCCUGGCAGGAGCCAGCACCAUGCCACAAGGGUUGAAAAAGACAGAAAGAAUCCUGCAGCAUUCAGAAGAAACAUCUGUGCAAGCUUCUUGAUCUUUGGAAGCCUGAUAUUGAUUGAAGUCGGGAGCAUGGAAUUUAACAUCUCUUUCACAGAAUGCUCCAGAAAGUGGCUAUUCCAAAGCAGGAAAGCACAAGGGGAAUUGCAAAUUUCUCAAGUCCCGUAGUGAGAGUAGGGGAGCAGAGGAUUCCAGCCCUGUCCUCACUGCUGGACCCAGAGGAGGGUGA